GACGUAGGGAGCGAGCGUUGUCCGGAUUCAUUGGGCGUAAAGAGCGCGCAGGCGGUUUGGUAAGUCGGAUGUGAAAACCCGGGGCUCAACCCCGGGCGUGCAUCUCGAUACUGCCCGACUAGAGGUAGGUAGGGGAGAUCGGAAUUCCUGGUGUAGCGGUGAAAUGCGCAGAUAUCAGGAGGAACACCGGUGGCGAAGGCGGAUCUCUGGGCCGGUACUGACGCUGAGACGCGAAAGCGUGGGGAGCGAACAGG
rnacentral:rRNA from 1 species